AUUGAACGCUGGCGGCAGGCCUAACACAUGCAAGUCGAGCGGAUGAAGGGAGCUUGCUCCUGGAUUCAGCGGCGGACGGGUGAGUAAUGCCUAGGAAUCUGCCUGGUAGUGGGGGAUAACGUCCGGAAACGGGCGCUAAUACCGCAUACGUCCUGAGGGAGAAAGUGGGGGAUCUUCGGACCUCACGCUAUCAGAUGAGCCUAGGUCGGAUUAGCUAGUUGGUGGGGUAAAGGCCUACCAAGGCGACGAUCCGUAACUGGUCUGAGAGGAUGAUUAGUCACACUGGAACUGAGACACGGUCCAGACUCCUACGGGAGGCAGCAGUGGGAAAUAUUGGACAAUGGGCGAAAGCCUGAUCCAGCCAUGCCGCGUGUGUGAAGAAGGUCUUCGGAUUGUAAAGCACUUUAAGUUGGGAGGAAGGGCAGUAAGUUAAUACCUUGCUGUUUUGACGUUACCAACAGAAUAAGCACCGGCUAACUUCGUG
rnacentral:rRNA from 1 species